UUGAAUUUGGGGAUACUUUGCUUGUGACCCAAGCCAUGAACAUUUUAAGCGCAGUGUGUGAAGACAUACUCUGAAUUAUAUAACUCAGUGGCACAACU